rfam:Culex pipiens quinquefasciatus supercont3.76 genomic scaffold, whole genome shotgun sequence.
GGCUCCGUGGCUUAAUGGUUACGGUUUCUGCCUCACAAGCAGAAGUUUCAGGUCUCAAAUCCCGGUCGGUACCU